UCCAUGGAUACAAGGAGUAAAAUUUCACUCAACUCCUAGCAUCUAACCCGUCCAGUGUAUCACAUCCGUCAACACAUAACAAGAAUAUCGGAAACUCAUCUAUCUCAGAUCCUCGAAAUCAAAACGAUACUAAGUAUGGCGAUACAUGUGGACCUACCUGCACCAGUACUGGGGAGGCCAGACUCCUCUCGCCACUACUAGUAUUGAAGCAAUUUCGAACAUCCUCCAUCCUGAGAUACUAAGAAAUAUGAAUG
rnacentral:lncRNA from 1 species